rnacentral:tRNA from 1 species
GCCUGGGUAGCUCAAUCGGUAGAGCGUGUGACUCUUAAUCUCAUCUUAAUCUCAAGGUCGCGGGUGUGACUCUUAAUCUCAAGGUCGCGGGUUCGAGCCCCGCCUCGGGCU